rnacentral:rRNA from 1 species
AUGUUUUUUAUGAGAAUAGGUGUGUAUGAACUUGUAUUAAUUUGGUCUUUUCGGUGUUGUGUAAUGAUGAUGAGCCGGCAAUGGAUGUACGGUGAACGAUGCUCUCCCCAAUUCAUUAAUGGCGUGCAUACUUUUCUGCUUGUGGUUGAGGAAAACAAGCGGCUGGAUGGUUUUAUGUAUUGUCUAUGUGUUGUCUGUAAGAUUGAUCAAAAUUACUCUAACUCAAGAACCAUUCACGUCCACCUGUUCACGCCCGGUUUCAUGUCCGGCUAUAACUGUUGGACCAAGCAUGGAGAAAGAGGGGUUCUAAUGGAAGAGAAUGAAGAAGAAGAGGAUGAUGAUAGCUAUCCUGGCCAUGGGUUCCUUGAAUACGAUGGUACUACAAUGGGGGAAGGAGCUGAGCCGGCAAUGGGGGAAGAA